GAAUUUGAAUGACAAUAAUAUCACGUAUAUUCAACGCGGUACCUUCGAAAACCUUCCGAAUUUAGAAGAACUAUAUUUGAGCAACAACCAAAUACAAAACUAUGAGGAUGGCGCGUUCUUAUUCCUUCCCAGUAUUUCUUACAUCUACCUCAGUAACAAUAACGAUAUGAUGUGUGGAUGUCACCUGCAGCCUUGGUAAAUUAUAUUAAAUCAACAUUCAGCAGAACUGUGAGUGUCCGAGGCGAGUGUCAGACAGAUCCAGGCAAUAACCAAAGCAAAAUUAUACCUAUAAUGGAAUACUCGCAAUGUCAAAGUUAGUAAAAUCUUCCUUGCUUCUGUUGUUAUGUUAUUACCUCUGACAAGGUCGACGAGUUACCACAAUCGUUGGCCCGCCGGACAAAACGCCCAGCAACAUUUCGUGCAACGUUACAGUCAUAGUUCAAACUCUGUCCAGAACGAUUUUGCUUUUAACCCACUCGGGGUCGAUAAAAUAAGUAUCAAUUGAACACUGCGGUCGAUGUAAU